UUGAUUUCUUGUUUUGGAAAUCAUGUUGCAGAAAAUACUUAUACAGGAUUGCAGCUAGUACCACAUGACAUUUUGGAGUCACUGAGACUACCAGAUGAGCAAUGGGCUACUUAUUCUGUUGAUGUUGUAGAAAAUUCUUUCGAGGCAGAACCUCGAAUUCCUGCAGAAUUCAAUACACAUGGUGGCUUUAAUGGACUGAAUAAUGACUCUUUCCUGGCAUUGCAGUCACCAACUUAUCUGGAACAGGAAUCGUCAUAUUCUAAUGGUCCUAGUUUUGGUUGUGAUUUAUUGAAUUAUCAAAUUGACAGUGGACCGGUAAUUGCUUUCUCUGAGUUGCAGCAACUACCAAACCACUUGAUUUCUUGUUUUGGAAAUCAUGUUGCAGAAAACACUUAUACAGGAUUGCAGCUAGUACCUCAUCACGUUUUGGAGUCAUUGAGACUACCAGAUGAGCAGUGGGCUACUUAUUCUGUUGAUGUUGUAGAAAAUUCUUUCGAGGCAGAACCUCGAAUUCCUGCAGAAUUCAAUACACAUGGUGGCUUUAAUGGACUGAAUAAUGACUCUUUCCUGGCAUUGCAGUCACCAACUUAUCUGGA
rnacentral:lncRNA from 1 species